UAUAUCCUGUAUUGCUGUCAUUUUCAAAACAGUGAAGUAUUUCUCAUUUUUAUCAUAAUCAUUGCUCUAUUUUACAUCUUAGUUGUUGUUGUCUGCACUCCCGAUUUCUUGCAGUAAAGUAGAAAUUUUAGUACUGUAUUUGGAUUUGGAUGACAUGAAUUUGGAUUUGGAUUUGAGGGGGUCCAAAUCUAAAUCCUUUGUUUAGAUAACUUAAAAGAAUUGGAUUUGGAUUUGGCCCAAAUACAUCUUGGAUUUCAGGGUCCAAAUCCAUGGAUUUGAAAUACCCUCAAAAACCCAGGAAUUUAGAAAUCUCUCACUCUCACGCACACUGUUUCUCUCUGGGCUCUCCGUGUCUCUCUUCCUAGCCGUAACUCACAAACUCUUCUUCCCCCUCUCUCUCGGCAAGGCAACUAUAGCCAACUUGUCUGUGUGACCAAUGAACUCUAGCUAAAAUCACACUUCCUUGUUAUAGUCUUGUGGUGGAGUAGUGGAUGAUAGAGAUGGAUUAUAAGAUUACCAUUUAGAGCAGAAAAGGUAAUUAAAGAAGUUGAUGAGGCUGAGUGCAGCUAACAACCAAUAAAAAAGAUCAAGCCUAUCCUUGUUGAAGUCAUUUUCACUAAGCCAUCCACCACUUGAAGAACUUGAGGUAAUUUUGUUCACUAGAGAAACAAGGAGUGAGCUUAAAUGGAAGUGGGAAUGUGGAGGUUCCCCCAACAUUUGUGCUUUAAAGUCCACCCCUUGUCAUCUUUCAAUGAGUCUUCCCUAUACAAUCAAGGUGGGGCUUAUUGUGAAAUGAAUGAGCAAGAGCCAGAGACUGUGAGACUGCAAGGUAAUAAUGAUGGUUCUUCCCCUUCUAAUUCCAAUGCUGGGAAUUCUGUGCAUGAGAGUUGCUUUCCCUUCUUGAUGGCUGAUGGGGAAAACUUGUGGGAAAAUUAUGCUUUGAAACCAGUAAGUAAAAAAAAAAAAAAAGCACGUAGAGUUUGUUAAGUUGUUCUAAUUAUCUGGAUUUGGGAAGAAACUUUGAAGGGUGGGAAAAGGUACCUAGUUGAAUUGUUAAGAGGUAAGAGGUUUGAAAAUGCCUCUGGUACAAUGGACUUACAUUGUGUAAGAGCUAGCUGAUUGAAGAUUUAUGUAUAUUAGGACUUAGAAGCUGCACUUUUAAGAAUAAAAUAAUGGGUUUGUGUUUAUCUUAGAAAGCACAGACGCAGCUGGGAGGGUGCCACACCCAAGUCCGACGCGGCCCGAUGCGGUUGCCCAUGCAUCGGUGCCGCAUUUGAGUUUUUUUUUUUUUUUUUUUUUUUUUUUUUUUUUUUUUUUCUUAUUGCGUAAAGUAACAGUACAAAAGCUCCAACAUGAAAAAGGUAGAGGGGUAUCAAAUUGUAAAUUUUUUUUUUUUGGGGAGAAAAUAUAAGUUUCUAAGUGAUUUUUAAUAAAAACAAAUUAUUAAAUAAUUAGAGAUAUCGUAUUUAAAUUCCCACCUCAGAGGCAUAGUAAUGUGUUUCUUGCCUUCUUCUUUCUUUGUUUUGUGAAUUAAGGCAUAGUAAUGUGUUUUUUAAGAAUAUUUUAAUAGUAAAAAUAUAUAGAAAAUAUAAAUAAAAAUAUUUUUAAUAAUUUUUUAAUCGCCGAGUCCCGCCGCACCCGCAUCCUACUUUUUCAAAAAUUGUCAAGUCCCGCACCCGCCCCCACACUCGAGUCCCGAAACGUACCCAUGCUUCAUAGGUUUUAUCAGUGUAAUGGGGAAUGGAGGAAGCAAUUAAUAUUUUGCUCAAAUUAUUGGGUUAUGGUCUCAAUGUUCUGUAAGUUUUCCAUUUUGUGAUAAAUUUCCCUUCUGUGCA